UACGUAGGGCGCAAGCGUUGUCCGGAAUUAUUGGGCGUAAAGAGCUCGUAGGUGGCUGGUCGCGUCUGCCGUGAAAGCCCGCAGCUUAACUGCGGGUCUGCGGUGGAUACGGGCCGGCUAGAGGUAGGUAGGGGCAAGUGGAAUUCCGGGUGUAGCGGUGAAAUGCGCAGAUAUCCGGAGGAACACCGGUGGCGAAGGCGGCUUCCUGGACCGACACUGACGCUGAGGCGCGAAAGCUAGGGGAGCAAACGGG
rnacentral:rRNA from 1 species